ensembl:snoRNA
AUCCUUUUGGGGUUGGUGGAUGUGAUGACUGGGUUUCCAUGCACAUGUCUGACAUGUGCCUCCCGCAGACCCUGUUACCACAUCCGUACAGUACCCGUAGGAUG